rnacentral:rRNA from 1 species
GACGAACGCUGGCGGCGUGCCUAACACAUGCAAGUCGAACGGAAAGGCCCUGCGUUUGUGGGGUGCUCGAGUGGCGAACGGGUGAGUAACACGUGAGUAACCUGCCCUUGACUUUGGGAUAACUUCAGGAAACUGGGGCUAAUACCGGAUAGGAGCUCCUGCUGCAUGGUGGGGGUUGGAAAGUUUCGGCGGUUGGGGAUGGACGCGCGGCUUAUCAGCUUGUUGGUGGGGUAGUGGCUUACCAAGGCUUUGACGGGUAGCCGGCCUGGGAGGGUGACCGGCGACAUUGGGACUGAGGUACGGACCAGACUCCUACGGGGGGCAGCAGUGGGGAAUAUUACACAAUGGGCGGAAGCCUGAUGCAGCGACGCCGCGGGCGGGAUGACGGCCUUCGGGUUAUAAACCGCUUUCGCCUGUGACGAAGCGUGAGUGACGGUAAUGGAUAAAGAAGCACCGGCUAACUACGUG